UAACAAAGGAACAAAGAAGGAAC
rnacentral:piRNA from 1 species